AGUACUUAAUGACAGAAAUUUCAUUUUUGGGUGAACUAACCCUUUAAAUAUUGUACUCAUCAAAUAUGCUAAUACUUGACUUGAACCCCCACUUUUUGGGAUUUAUCAGAUUCCUCGGGUCUUUUUUUUGUCUUUUUAUUUAUUUAUUCCAGUGAGGAUAUUGCAUUUAAAAGUAUUGUUCUCUGAGGAACUUGCAACAAAAGUGCUAAUUGGUUUCCAGUUUCUACGAGAACUGUCAGCUGAUGUUCCAAUAAUUCCAUUCAUAAGUACAUUUUCUUGAGUACAAUAAGAUAUUUGAGGUAGUGUUAUUUGUUUUGCCAGCAUAGAGAGCCACUCUAAUUAUGCUACAGUGUGGAACAAUACAUUCACAUACUACACACUGUUAGAAGGUGCAUAUUAAUAACUACAGAUACAGUGGUCAUUUGUAUGGGAGAAGUUUCACUAGUGGUCUCAGACUUUUGAUCCCAACUGCACUUAUGUAUUAUUUAUUUUUUGGCUGUUUGUUUAAUCUUGUUUGUUUAGUCUCAGAAGUUUAUUUGGGUGAUGGAACUGUGAACUGAGAAGAGACAACGGCAGAAGCCUUUCUCUGAUCUCUCCAGGUGAUUAUCUGGAGAUUAGAUUGUGAUGAAAAGUUGCACCUUCUUAUUUAAAUAUUCAUUUAAUCUGUCAUUACCUGCAGUGUGCUAUCAGAAGAAGGAAGCCCAAUUUGAAUCGCCCGAAAUUCUUUCUCUCAGCUUUCUGAUUGCCCAUACUGAGCGCUUGACUCUAAAGGGAGAUUAGUUUAUGGAGAUGGGAAAACAUGAAUUUAAUUGCUUUGCAAAGAGUAUGCAAAGCAUGUUUAUUAUAAAGCUGAAAGCUAACUCCUCCUUAGCACACAUCUCGUCUCUGCCAAUAUUCCAAAGUAUGCUUGUAUUCCUAAAAUAAAUGCAGUAACUAAAACUCUAUUUCCGUACGCUCCAGACUGAAAGGCCCUGAAGACACACGAUGCACCUCUCAGUUCUUUUCAAUUUAUCAAAACAGCAAACACUCCUUCAUCUCCCUCCCGCAACACACAAGCCAGAUCUAACCGAGGAAGAAACCAUGCGAGAAAGCAAAUAAAUUAAUUACAGUUAUGUAGACAGAUCUUGGCUUAAAAUAUUUGUAGAUCUUACCACCAAGUGAUGAGGACUUACGGAAAGAGUGGAUUUUUGACUGUUAGAGGCAUUUGACUGCAUUGUGCUGCUCUUUUCAAACAUGCUGUGAAAAGUGCUGGAGGUGGAUGUGUCGACUACUGCCGUCGGUUUCUCAGCACAAGUAUCACGCUGACUGACUCAGCUCCCUCCUACAUAUGACAGCAGCCAGAACUGUUGUCCUCAUAAAGGCCUGGACCUAUGGCCUUGAUGCAUUUGUAUUUAUUCUAAACAGUUCCAGCAUCUCUGAAGUAGAAGUCUUGUAAAUCAGUGGGAGAACUGAAAACAACGUGAAUUCAAUGUGAGGUGGAUAGAUGAGAUGUCACUGAGCAAAAGGCAUUUGUACAUGAUGGGAGCACCUGGAGAUGUUGCUUGAUACCAGGGGUGUAGCCAUCAUUUCAGAAGUGAGGGGGACAGAAAUGUUGGGUGUAAUACCAGUUUUUAUCUGACCAUUGAAUAAUUGAUAAUACACUUGCUGAACAAUAAACAGCAUCUAAUAUUU